UAAGGAAUAUUGGACAAUGGCCGCAAGGCUGAUCCAGCCAUCCAGCGUGCAGGAAGAAGGCCCUAUGGGUUGUAAACUGCUUUUAUCAGGGAAGAAACCCCUUUGUUCACAAAGGGCUGACGGUACCUGAAGAAUAAGCACCGGCUAACUCCGUGCCAGCAGCCGCGGUAAUACGGAGGGUGCGAGCGUUAUCCGGAAUUACUGGGUUUAAAGGGUGCGUAGGCGGCUAUGUAAGUCAGAUAGUGAAAGUUUGCGGCUCAACCGUAAAAUUGCUUUUGAUACUGCAUGGCUAGAAUCAGGAUGAGGUCAGCGGAAUGUGGCAUGUAGCGGUGAAAUGCAUAGAUAUGCCAUAGAACACCAAUUGCGAAGGCAGCUGGCUAGACCUGUAUUGACGCUGAGGCACGAAAGCGUGGGGAUCGAACAG
rnacentral:rRNA from 1 species